GGCCAUCUGAGUCCAUGCCAAGAUUUUGUCAGGCACAAGACCACCAGGGUUGAUGAGACUUCCAAGAUAAGUGACGUG
rnacentral:pre_miRNA from 1 species